UCAUGAAAAUGCUGCCAAAAACUUGUAGAGCGUUUUGCUGAAUUUAUCUGCUGUUGAGUUCUCGGCAAUAAAAUCUAAGUGUGUAUAGUUUUGCACACCACGUCUAUCGCCCUUCUUGUGCACGAGAAACAUAAUGGAAAAUUUCCAACUAGAGGAAAAUACGCAUUGCCGUUGAGAUAAAUUGAACAACAGACAUAACGGAUGAAUAAAACAGGCACAUCAUUUUAGAAAGCACUACGGAACUCCAUCGGGCCUGCAGUGAAGGAUGAUUUAAGUUUAUCUAUGGCAGCGAUAACGUGACGACUAGUUAUUUCUUUAAGCAGAUUGAAAUUGAAAACAUCUCUAGAAGGGCCAUUAAAAGCAGUAUCAAUCUGAGCAUUAGAAGUAGUAUGCUCAUGAAAAUUGCGCUGAAAGCUACGGGCAAAUAGAGUUUGUCUGUCAAACAGGGUCCUGCCCUGACAAACGCCAAGGAAUAUCCACCGCAGUCAGCAGUUCUUUUCAUAGAAAGACAUCGAAAAAUGGCUAGACUCGUUGAUAGCCCGAAAAGACGAUUCCGUAACGAUAUUCGAGCUCUCUUAGAAAGAUGGGAGAAAGUUGUUGCUAGUUAUGAGAGGCUUUGCUAGAAUACAUACUCAAUUUGUUGAGUCCAAUACGUUUGCAAAGUUCCAUUCAAACCAAAAAUUGUCGAUAUUGGAAGAUAGGCAAUUCGACAUCUAGAAAUAUUUUAUAUACACAAAACCCUUUCCUUCAGUUCAUAGACGGUGUGUCCAUAGAGUAAUAACGGUAAGGUCGUGCCAUCGUUGAAAACAAUGAAAGGAGAAAAAAAUAAUGCUGGCCAUGUCUUGGGCCCUGAAUCGUGGUGGCGAGUGCUUUUUGCUGAACUGUUUUGAAUCAAUAAAGUGAUCAACACAUAAUAGUAAAUGGCACUAUUUUUACAAUGCUUAACAGCUCUCACUUGGAAGGUAAAGGCGACAAAGCUACGACCAUCAGAUAAUCUCCAAAUGCGAAAGUUUCAUCUACCCCGGUGAAUGAGCACCGCGUGAAUUUCAAACAAACGCCAGAAAAGCUUACACUUGUUUGGCCCGGAAGAUGCGUCAUGCAGAACGGGCUCUACUUUCACUAAAAGCCGAAUGAUCUGAUAAGCAUCUUCCUCAGCCGUGAACAGUAUCUUUACGCAGCGGGGUCGAAUGCAUCAUGAUACCUGAAAACUUUCGUCUGUAAAAUGCUUCACCAUAAGA